GGACAAGUGGAAAUUAUUUCAAAUUAAAGAGGGGAGACUUAGACUGGAUAUAAGAAAGAAGGUUUUUACAGUAAGAGUUAAGUUUUUCAUAAAAGAGGCACUGGAACUGAUUGCACAAAGAGGUCAUGGCAGCCCUGUCCCUGGGGACAUUCAGGGUUUAGGCUGGAUAGGACUCUGAGCAACCUGAUCUGGCAACAUCCAACCUUAUCAUUUUCCAAUUGUCCAUUGGUUCCAUCAGGACAGUAGACAUUUCCCAAUGAUCAAAUUGUAAUUUGGAGUCUACAAAGGUGAAGUAUAAGCCUUUUUGGCUGCAGCUGAGAGGUAUGAAUGGCCUUUUCCCUUAUGUCACUCUUCAGUUCGCAAUCCAGUAGAGACGUUGGAGAUACUGUUCCAGUACAUUGAAUCUUUUCCAGUUUCCUCACUGUAUCUGCAUGUUUGUGCUAAAUUUAACUGCUUUCUUGCUACACUAUUUCCUACCAGUGCAUAUAUGCAUAGAUUGCUUUGCUUUUGCAUCUUAUCUUGUCAUAUCUCUUUUGCCACAUUUUCUUAAGAAGAAUGAGUGUAAAUACUGAUAAAAAUAAUGGUGUUACAGCUUCUGAGUCAUCUGCUCAGUUUGAUAUUUUCAAAUUUGCUGCUUACUAUCUAUGAUGGCUGAUAUCUCUUCUCCCCUCAUAUAGGCUGCUAGCUUAUUCCAUGUUGUUCUGGUAUCUAUAGGCCCUAAAACUAAAUACACUCCAGGCCAUCCAUUAUAGUUACUUGAAUACAUCUGUGUAUUUAAACAUUCAAGGCUUGUCAAUUUCGACUAUGUUGCCAUGCACAAAACAUUAAAGAGUCUGACAACUUUUUUCUGCUUCUAUUAUGUCUCUACUUUCUUUUGGCUUAUGACCAUCAUAGUGGUAUAAUCAUUCAAAUUCUGGUCUUCCUUCUUAAGUUCAUACAGUGUUAUGCAUCCACUCAUCAUAAUCAGUUUCUAGAUCUUUUGAAAGAAUCUGGAUCCCAAAGAUUUAGUCCCUGCUUAAUACUGUUUCCUCACCUCAUCUAUUUCUUCAAAAAGUAGAAGUGGACAAAUCCUAGGUGCAGGGUCCUAGAUAAUUCCUAGGAGCAGAGUUGGAAUGUCCAGCAGAGGACUGGUUUUGUUUUUAUCUUUCCUCAGAAUCGCAGAAUUAUAGAAUCAUGAAGAUUGGAAAAGACAACUAAGAUCAUCUAGUCCAACUGUCAACAUCACCAUGCCUGCUGAACCAUGUCCUCAGAGCCUUGGUUCCCCUGUCAGUGGCCUUGUCCUUUACUAAUAAGCCAUAAGAAAAACAGUCUCUGUUCAGCUGAGUCAUGAGAGGUAGCAAAGACAAAGAUCUCUGAUCACCUAGGGCUAUGAUCAGAGGCUUUUAAAGCAAUCUUUGGGCCUCCAUACAAUGUCCACCUAGUGCCAAUUUGCCAAACUGCCACAUUUUCUUUCUCAGAUUUUCAGCAGUUGGCAUCCACCACAAAGACUGACACCUAUCUAAAAGAGAUUUGCCCAGAGUGAACUGCAACCAGAUCACUGAAUGAUUUAGCUACUAUUUCUCUUCUUUCCUCAGAUUAUCAGUGAUCUUGAGUCACCUGGGCUCAAAAUUUAUUAGUUAUUUAUUUGUUAUAGUAUACAAACUAUUCACAGUAAGAUGAAUGGUAAGAUAUCUGACAAUUCAUGGACCAGUGAAUGCCCUGAGUCUCUGGAAUAGUGAGAUUUCUUCACUGAUAAGAUUGUUAUCCAAAUUAUUAGUAAUGUUUGUUUUUUCCCUAUUUCCCUGUUUCAGCUGCACAUUUAAAAUACUGAAAUGCUUGUACGGUUCACAAAUUAUCUAUUGCUUCUUGGCCUGUGCAAUCUUUCAGCUUUCCUCAGUAAUUCUUAUGUUGUCUUCUGUUUCAACACUUGCACAAGAAAAACUCACAAAGGAUUCCAUCCUGGGAGCUGAGUCAUUCUCUAAACCAAGAACUGUCAUUCUCUGUACAUAAAAUAUUCCUCUGCAGAGCUUAAGGGCAAGUAUUACGUAUGUGAUUUUAUGUUGAUUUUUCUUUGGCUUCUCUUACUUUAAAUUGCUUGCAUAUCUGAAUCAGUAUACCACAUUAUUUAUCUGUACACACCAGAACUUUCUUUGCAUUCAUACAAUUACAUAAUGUGUUACAUAAUGCCAAAAUGUUAGUUAUUUUUGUGUUCUAAUUAUUUAUUUGAUAGUCAUUUCAAUAAAUACACUCACAUUUUCACUUGUUUUGUAUUUACACCUAAUUCUCUUGAGCUUUAACUACUUUCUUCCUAUCCAGGAAACCUCCAGUCCUCAAGGAACAUGAUCUGUACAAUCAAAUUGUUAGUCCAGUCACACCUCUAAAAGACAGUCAUGGUGAAUAGCAAUCUAGCUUUAGUCAUCUGAGAUAGCUAACAUUUAAAAGAGCUGACUAACAGUGACAUGUAUUAGACAUGGAAAAAACAAGACCGGCUAUUUAUUUCUUUUCUUUUCUUAGCACUGUAAAGUACCUCACACAUUCUUUGUAUUUUUAAAUAAACAUUUUAAAUAAAAAAACUAAAUUCUGUAUUUGUGAUUGCCAAAAAUAAACGCUUUAGUAGGUUGAAACCACUCUAGCACUAUAAGUUAUUCACAUUAUGACAUUCCCUGCAUAUGUUAAAAUUGAUGUGUGGGACUGAAAGAGAAUUAUAGAAAGAUUCCUGAACACCUCUGUUUUGAUUUUUAUGAUACUUCUUGAAAUAAAACUUUUCAGCUGAUUUCUCCAGCAUAAUUUCACCUGUUAAAAAUUCUCAUGUUAGCUCUGAUUUUAUAAAUAAUGCCUUUAUUAAAUCUAUCAUUUUCCAGCCUACUACGUUUUUAUUCCCCUUUCUUUACUUGCUUGCAUACUUACCACUCUUUGUUUCAAUGUUUUGUUUUGUCCUUUUAAUUCUUUGUUUUACAGUAAGACUUGUUGCACUGCUUUCCUUGACGAAUUUGUAUCUGCAUAGAAGAAAAUUGAGCCUUGUGCCAACAGAUGAGAUAGACUUUAUGACUUCUCUAUGAUCACACCACAUAUUGAUAAAAGCAUGUAACUGUGAAGUAUGAGAUGCAAAUGUCAAAAUAUUUCUUUGUUAUCGUAAGGAGUUGCAAAAGGAGUCAUUCCUUUUCUGUACAAUGAAUUAUGGGCAUUCAGAACUGUAAAAAAGCCACUCUGCCAAGAAUAUAAAAAUAAAUGCCAUUUGUUGUUUUUUGUUUUGUUUUUCUAAUUUCCUUUCUGUAGAAUGUAGCAUUAAUAUUCUCAAAAAGAAAAAAGCCAACUCUAAGAAAAACUAUCACAUUGCCCACUGUUUUUCUUAAAUCUGUAAAUGUUUUGCAGGUCUUAUCUUAAGUCAGCUGUCUUGCUCCAGGUUUUGAUCUUUGGAAUAAAUCUAACUUAUUUUGGCUUCUA